GACGAACGCUGGCGGCGUGCUUAACACAUGCAAGUCGAACGGAAAGGCUCUGCUUUUGUGGGGUGCUCGAGUGGCGAACGGGUGAGUAACACGUGAGUAACCUGCCCUUGACUUUGGGAUAACUUCAGGAAACUGGGGCUAAAACCGGAUAGGAGCUCCUGCUGCAUGGUGGGGGUUGGAAAGUUUCGGCGGUUGGGGAUGGACUCGCGGCUUAUCAGCUUGUUGGUGGGGUAGUGGCUUACCAAGGCUUUGACGGGUAGCCGGCCUGAGAGGGUGACCGGCCACAUUGGGACUGAGAUACGGCCCAGACUCCUACGGGAGGCAGCAGUGGGGAAUAUUGCACAAUGGGCGGAAGCCUGAUGCAGCAACGCCGCGUGCGGGAUGACGGCCUUCGGGUUGUAAACCGCUUUCGCCUGUGACGAAGCGUGAGUGACGGUAAUGGGUAAAGAAGCACCGGCUAACUACGUG
rnacentral:rRNA from 1 species